rnacentral:snRNA from 1 species
AGCUUUGCACAAGUGGCAGUAUCAUAACCAAUGAGAGUUAAUCUGAGGUGUGAUUAUUGCUACUUGAAAAUCCGCUCCUCUCCCCUUCCUGGUGGAGAUGUACAGUACUACUGUAGACAGCAGAACUGUACCCUCAUCUCUUUUUGUUACACUCACACAGU